rnacentral:rRNA from 1 species
ACGCUGGCUACAGGCUUAACACAUGCAAGUCGUGGGGAAACGGCAUUAUGUGCUUGCACAUUCUGGACGUCGACCGGCGCACGGGUGAGUAUCGCGUAUCCAACCUGCCCCUUACUUGGGGAUACCCCGUUGAAAGACGGCCUAAUACCCGAUGUGUUUCAUUGACGGCAUCCGAUAUGAAACAAAGGUUUUUCCGGUAAGGGAUGGGGAUGCGUCUGAUUAGCUAGUUGGCGGGGCAACGGCCCACCAAGGCGACGAUCAGUAGGGGUUCUGAGAGGAAGGUCCCCCACAUUGGAACUGAGACACGGUCCAAACUCCUACGGGAGGCAGCAGUGAGGAAUAUUGGUCAAUGGACGCAAGUCUGAACCAGCCAAGUAGCGUGCAGGAUGACGGCCCUAUGGGUUGUAAACUGCUUUUAUGUGGGAAUAAAGUGGCGCACGUGUGCGCCAUUGCAUGUACCUCAUGAAUAAGGACCGGCUAAUUCCGUGCCAGCAGCCGCGGUAAUACGGAAGGUCCGGGCGUUAUCCGGAUUUGUUGGGUUUAAAGGGAGUGUAGGCGGUCUGUUAAGCGUGUUGUGAAAUUUAGGUGCUCAACAUUUAACUUGCAGCGCGAACUGUCAGACUUGAGUACACGCAGCGCAGGCGGAAUUCAUGGUGUAGCGGUGAAAUGCUUAGAUAUCAUGAGGAACUCCGAUCGCGAAGGCAGCCUGCGGGAGUGUUACUGACGCUUAAGCUCGAAGGUGCGGGUAUCGAACAGGAUUAGAUACCCUGGUAGUCCGCACGGUAAACGAUGGAUGCCCGCCGUUGGCGCCCUGCGCCUGCGGCCAAGCGAAAGCAUUAAGCAUCCCACCUGGGGAGUACGCCGGCAACGGUGAAACUCAAAGGAAUUGACGGGGGCCCGCACAAGCGGAGGGACAUGUG